rnacentral:rRNA from 1 species
UGAACGCUAGCGGCAGGCUUAACACAUGCAAGUCGAGGGGUAUAUGCCUUCGGGUAUAGAGACCGGCGCACGGGUGCGUAACGCGUAUGCAACCUACCUUCCACAGGGGGAUAGCCCAGAGAAAUUUGGAUUAAUACCCCAUUGUAUUAUAAGGUGGCAUCACCAAUUAAUUAAAGUCACAACGGUGGAAGAUGGGCAUGCGUCCCAUUAGCUUGUUGGUAAGGUAACGGCUUACCAAGGCGACGAUGGGUAGGGGUCCUGAGAGGGAGAUCCCCCACACUGGUACUGAGACACGGACCAGACUCCUACGGGAGGCAGCAGUGAGGAAUAUUGGUCAAUGGGCGCAAGCCUGAACCGGCCAUGCCGCGUGCAGGAUGACGGUCCUAUGGAUUGUAAACUGCUUUUAUACGGGAAGAAACCCUGGCUCGUGAGCCAGAUUGACGGUACCGUAGGAAUAAGGAUCGGCUAACUCCGUGCCAGCAGCCGCGGUAAUACGGAGGAUCCAAGCGUUAUCCGGAAUCAUUGGGUUUAAAGGGUCCGUAGGCGGCCCGGUAAGUCAGUGGUGAAAUCUCCCCGCUCAACGGGGAAACGGCCAUUGAUACUGCCGGGCUUGAGUUGCCAGGAAGUAACUAGAAUAUGUAGUGUAGCGGUGAAAUGCUUAGAUAUUACAUGGAAUACCAAUUGCGAAGGCAGGUUACUACUGGCGUAUUGACGCUGAUGGACGAAAGCGUGGGUAGCAA